rnacentral:tRNA from 1 species
GGGGCCGUAGCUCAGUAGGGAGAGCGCCGCCUUUGCACGGCGGAGGUCAGGGGUUCGAAUCCCCUCGGCUCCA